rnacentral:rRNA from 1 species
GGAAAAGGAACCAACAGGGAUUGCCUUAGUAACGGCGAGUGAAGCGGCAAAAGCUCAAAUUUGAAAUCUGGCACUUUCAGUGUCCGAGUUGUAAUUUGAAGAAGGUAACUUUGGAGUUGGCCCUUGUCUAUGUUCCUUGGAACAGGACGUCACAGAGGGUGAGAAUCCCGUGCGAUGAGGUGUCCAAUUCUAUGUAAAGUGCUUUCGAAGAGUCGAGUUGUUUGGGAAUGCAGCUCUAAGUGGGUGGUAAAUUCCAUCUAAAGCUAAAUAUUGGCGAGAGACCGAUAGCGAACAAGUACAGUGAUGGAAAGAUGAAAAGAACUUUGAAAAGAGAGUGAAAAAGUACGUGAAAUUGUUGAAAGGGAAGGGCUUGAGAUCAGACUCGGUAUUUUGCAAGCCUAUCCUUCGUGGAGAGGUUUAUUAGCAGCUUACCGGGCCAGCAUCGGUUUGGAUGGUAGGAUAAUGGCAUUGGAAUGUGGCUCUUCGGAGUGUUAUAGCCUUUGUUGAUACUGCCUAUCUAGACCGAGGACUGCGGUCUUUGACUAGGAUGCUGGCGUAAUGAUCUUAAGCCGCCCGC